rnacentral:rRNA from 1 species
GAUGAACGCUGGCGGCGUGCUUAACACAUGCAAGUCGAACGGUGAAGCCAAGCUUGCUUGGUGGAUCAGUGGCGAACGGGUGAGUAACACGUGAGCAACCUGCCCUGGACUCUGGGAUAAGCGCUGGAAACGGCGUCUAAUACUGGAUAUGAGCCUCUUCCGCAUGGUGGGGGGUGGAAAGAUUUUUUGGUCUGGGAUGGGCUCGCGGCCUAUCAGCUUGUUGGUGAGGUAAUGGCUCACCAAGGCGUCGACGGGUAGCCGGCCUGAGAGGGUGACCGGCCACACUGGGACUGAGACACGGCCCAGACUCCUACGGGAGGCAGCAGUGGGGAAUAUUGCACAAUGGGCGAAAGCCUGAUGCAGCAACGCCGCGUGAGGGAUGACGGCCUUCGGGUUGUAAACCUCUUUUAGCAGGGAAGAAGCGAAAGUGACGGUACCUGCAGAAAAAGCGCCGGCUAACUACGUG